CGGAAGGCAGCAGUGAGGAAUAUUGGUCAAUGGACGAGAGUCUGAACCAGCCAAGUAGCGUGCAGGAUGACGGCCCUAUGGGUUGUAAACUGCUUUUGUACGGGAAUAAAGUGACCUACGUGUAGGUUUUUGCAUGUACCGUAAGAAUAAGGACCGGCUAAUUCCGUGCCAGCAGCCGCGGUAAUACGGAAGGUCCGGGCGUUAUCCGGAUUUAUUGGGUUUAAAGGGAGCGUAGGCCGUGCUUUAAGCGUGUUGUGAAAUGUAGGCGCCCAACGUCUGCACUGCAGCGCGAACUGGAGUACUUGAGUACGCAGGAAGUAGGCGGAAUUCGUCGUGUAGCGGUGAAAUGCUUAGAUAUGACGAAGAACUCCGAUUGGGAAGCCAGCUUACUGUAGCGCCACUGACGCUGAUGCUCGAAAGCGUGGGUAUCGAACAGGAUUAGAUACCCUGGUA
rnacentral:rRNA from 1 species